GCGAGAGUGGUGGAACGGCAGACACGCAGGAUUUAGGUUCCUGUGCCGCAAGGCGUGAGGGUUCAAGUCCCUCCUCUCGCA
rnacentral:tRNA from 1 species